UAUCAGUGGAGAGGAAGAAGCAGGGAGAUUGUACUAGGUGGGUAGUUCUUGGUCCGACCCAUCUUGAUCCAGCGUUAACAGUGGCUAGGUAGUGAGGUUAACCAGAGGUAUUUGGUUGGAACGACAGCAGGCGUCUUCGGCAGUGACUCAACAGCCGAAUAUGCAUAUUUGGGUGAGUUUUGGAUUGAGGUAAAUGCAUUGUUGUUAGUAUAAAUGGAUUUUGGAGUUAGUAAAUCUAUUAUGGUUUGUGUAAUUUGGAUUGGUUGAAUAUCAUGAUGGAAUGUAUGUCGUUAGGCUCAUUGAAUUGAUUUUUCAUACGUGGAGUGUUUGAUUAUUGAUCGAGGAUCAUUGGAUUUAUUCGAUGAGUUAGGAAUGUUGGAUUAAACCUGACUCAAUCAAAUGGAUUGGAUGAAUCGAAAUUUAUCGUUGCAUUGAGGUUUCCUUAAUUGGUUUUAGGGAUUUUAUUUAGCUAUUUAACCCAUGUGAAUUUAGCUAAAUAAAAUAUAUUGAUACAGGACUCUGAUUCGAGAUGAGCAUCUCAACGUCGGAUUUGGACUGGAUUGGACCUU